GCCAAGGGAUGGAACCACCCACAGUGGGCUGGGCUCCCCCUCAUCAAUGACUGAUUAAGAAAAUGCCCUGCGGUUCUGUCUACCAUGUCCUGAUCUUGUGCAGGCUUGUUUUCCCAGUUGCCAUUCCUUCUUCUCAGAUGACUCUAGCUAAUGUCAAGUUGGCAUAAAGCCUGCCAGCACAAUUUCAUUUCAAAUUAGUGCAUGCUUAGAGGUACCUGGAAACGGGGAUUUUGUACUAGGGAACAUUUUAGCAAUGUCUUACUUUAUGUUGGUCGUUUCUGUUAGGGGAAAGCUUCAAGCAGAUCUCAACUGUGAAGAAACAGUUCACCGGACACUGUUAUUAGUAGGUGGAUACAAUUAUGGUGUAGGGUGUUCAAAACAGAAGGUAGUCUUGGUGUAGCCUAAAGGAACAGAAGGACUAAGUCAGAGCUGCUCAAAAUCCACUCUUUCUGCCAGAAAGUUGUUCUAGAAGCCAAACCCUGCUAGCAAGCACUUGGGCAGAAAGUCCGCUCGGCUUUUAUUCUACAAAGGUGGUGAGUGUGUCUUUCCCCAUUUGCUGUGAUCCAACUUCAUAGUCUUCUGAGGUUGGCUGGUUUUUGUUUUUAUGCAUAUGUGUGCUUUGCCUGCGUCUGUGUCUGUGUACCAUGUACAUUCCUGGUACCCUUGGAAGCUGAAAGAGGUCAUCCCAUCUCCUGGAACUGGAGCUUUGUGCACUCUGGGAGCUGGGAACAGGACUUGGGUCCUCUGCAAGUGCAGGCAGUGCUCUUAACGACUGAACCACUUCAACCAGCCCAAUUCAAAGUCCUUUUUAAAAAGACUGUAAAUGUGAUAUCCGUUCAUCUUUUACCUCUGUGCGUUUAUGAAGUUAGAUAUGUCUAGAUUUUUUUUCAGUGUUUCUGAGGUAGCGUUUUAAAAAUUGUUAAUAUUUAUUGGGUCUAAUUUUAAUUUUAUUUAUUUUAUGCGUAUGGGUGCUUUGCCUGCAUGUGCAUUUAUGUAUCAUAUGGGUGCCUGGCCUUGAGUCCCCUGGGACUGGUGAUACAGAUUCUGGGUAUUGGGACUCAUACUCAGGACCUCUGGAGGAGCCUGAACUCUUUUAGUUGAGUGUGACCUUGAACCAUGAUCCUCCUGCCUCCACCUCUCAAGUGCCAGGAUUAUAAGAAGCCUGACUUAGACUUCGUUAAAUGAGUUGUGAUAACAAGAUGUUCUCGCUCCCCUGUGUCAUUGUCGUUUAUUUUUGUGUUUAUAGGAGCUUGUGUACGAUUAGCAACAUAGGAAGCUCGUUUCUUCCUUCCUCUGUCUGGACUCUGGGCUGCUGUAUGCAUGGCUACCCUCCUUACCUGUUUGGGCUUCCAUGCCCCACUGUGGACUUGAGGGUGUCCUGCCCAGGUACCUUGAGGGUACCUUGUUCACCUCCUUUCUUACCUUUGCCCUGGUGGUUCAGGUCUGCCCUCUAAGGAAGACAGGGGAAAGGAGCCAAUGUGCAUUUUAUAAAGCAGUAUUUUAUGUGCACAGAGAUUUGGAGAGUCCUGUGUGGAGUGCCUCUUGUUUUAUGGCCCCAGGGUAUGGAUCCCACAGGUAGCUGACCUGUUCGGAUCUCUAAGAGCACAGGCGUCUCAGCCAGCGUGUAUAUGUAGGACAGUGAAAGUCACUCAGGUGUUGGCUGAGCGUGCUGCUCCAGUGCUGUGAUUUGAUACCAGUACUAGGGGGUGGAGACAAGAGGGUUAACAGUUUUGAGGCCAGCCUGGGGUAGUUUUGAGACAAGCUAAACUAAGCAAAAAUCACCACGAAUGAAGGGAGGAAAUUGUAUUUGAGCAGGUAGAGUAAGGAAACCCCUAACCUGACUGCUCCAUUAUUAAAGGGAAGGUUCUUAUUGGGGAUGAGUGAGAGAUGAUAUCCAGAGGCCACUGGAAGAGUCUAGAGCAGAGAGAAGAGAAAGCAGACUGGACAUGGCCAGAGCUGGGGAAGCAGGAGAGAGCAAGACCGCAUACAGGGAGAGCCUCCCUGUUCACCUGUAGUGAGAGAGGGACUCGCUGGAUUGUAAGGAGGAUGAGUAACUGUGGGUACCAAACCUGUGAGCUAGAGAGUCUAGAGUAGAGGGGGUAAGGCAGACUGGGGUGCUAGUGUGGAAUUUGUAAUGUAUAAGAGAAACUUGUGAUACCGGGGGAGCCUGGAGGCCAGCAUGGGCUUCGAGAUGCUUCGAGCCAUAUGUCCCUUCCACCAGAGGUCAGGGAAAUGACUCCUUGGGGGGGACAGAAAACCUGUUUCACAGGUUCCUGAGGAACACUGGCUUCUACCAGUCAAAAAUCCUGCUAUUGACCAGCUGGACAUCUAACACAAAUGACCUCAGAAACACAAAAGGACAGGAAGAGAUGGGGUCACACCGAAGUAUCUAAGCCCUGUGGAUUUUAAUUAUUGGGAGGGAAGGCAAACUUCAAGCCUCCGCCUGGAAAGAAAGACUACUAAAUGAGACAGCAGACAGAGCCCUGGAGGACGCGAUUGAAACAUGUCACUAGAAAUGGUUUAAGUGGAGAGUUCUGG
rnacentral:sRNA from 1 species